GUGCUGCUAUGAAUGUCUUUGUAAAAAAAUAUAUAAAUAAAUAAAUAUAUCUAUAAAAUCCUUCUCUUGGAUUAUUCCCUCCGGAAUAUCUCCAAAGAGGGAUUACAAGGUCAGAGAGCAUGAAGUAUUUUAUAGCUCUUGUUUUAUAUUGUCAGAUUGCUUUCUAGAAAGAUCCAAUCUUUGGGUUGGAAGGACCUUAAAGGUCAUCUCAUUUAAACUUCCCCUCCUCUGAAUGCUUGAAUCCCCUUUACAAUUUAUAAUUCCACCAGCAAUGUAUAAGCAUUUCUAUUUACCAAUAGCUCUGCCAGUACUGAGUUUUGCUAUUCUAACUUAUUUUAUUUUUUGCUAGUUUAAUAGAUGUGUAUAGUUACUCUUGAGAAGCUGUCUGAUUUGAUGAACUGCUAGCAAGGCUGAACACUUUUCCGUGUGAUGAGUUAUGAGCUGUGUUUUCUCGUAUGUAAACCGUCCACAUCCAUUUCUUAUGACUGCUUGGUCAAUAGAACUGAUCGAGUCGUACCUUUGUACCAGAACUGUAUUUUUAUGUUGUAUUGUAGUUUGCCUUCUCCCCACCCCUACAAAUGAAUGGUGCCAAUAAUUUGAUACUAAUGACUAUAAAAGUUGCCUCACUGACUAGCGUUGAUGCAAACGAGGUAUGUAAACAGGUAUUCGGUUAACCAAGGAGUGACCCUUUAAGGACUGACUCUACAAUUUAAUAUUUUUUUUGAGGGAACUCUUUAUAGGAUGUAUGGCACAUUUCCUUGCCUUAGUACACAGAGUGUCCUGGAGGGUGUUCAGCCCUUUCCUGAUGAAUCCUGGUUGUCAGUACACAUAUCCACCCCUCCUGUACCUUGGUAUGGUACAAAAAAUGUCAGGAGGAGUUAUCGACACUUGUGGGGCUUGCUGUGACCUAUAUAGGCCAUGACCCUCUUCUCAUCAAUAGCUCUGUAUUGUCCUGCUCUUUCUGUGGAGCUGUCUGGGGAAAGUGGAGUUUUGGGUGGGUGCUUUUUACUCACGAAGCCCCUAGAUUACUAGCAAAAUGGCUUUGGCUGUCCUCUAUCAUGUGCACGUGACACAAACCAUGUUCCUAUAGAACACAGGGUUGUCACCUCCUGCCAACCCAGCAGCUGCUUCCUCUUCUGAGCUGCUCUCUGCAGUGUGCACUCCUCCCCCUUGCUCUCAGAUGGAAGCCUCCAGAACACAGCAGAAGGUUUCCGGAGCUUUCGGGCCACAUGUGUAUCCCACGAGUCUGACUUGAUUUGUUCCUAGGUAGGUGUGCAUGGAGGUUCUAGCCGCUGCGUUCAGGAGGCUUGCAAGCUCCUACCUUGUCCCCCACCUCUCCCUUGGGCUCACAAGAGUCUCAGUGGGUGGACAUCCCUGCAAACCUGAGCACAAACAUGCUGGUUGCUCUUGUAUGUGCAAACCCAGAACCGCAGGCAGUUCAUCCCAAGGAGAGGAGUGGCCGCAGUGGCCAUUUAUCUUCUGCCUACUUAAAUGUAUGGUGGGUGCUGAGACAGCAAAGCUGCCCUGGGGGAGCUCACAGUGACUAUAAGGAGUUGUGCAAUUAUUACCUUCUUGGUCUGCUUUAGACCCAAACAACAGCACUAGAGGGUAACACAACCACCCACUGUGGAUUCAAGAGGAGAGGAGAGAGUCUGCUAACAUGAUCAUUACAGAGCUGGGACUGUACAGCAUGGCCUCAGACUCUUAGUUGGGAAGUCAUGGCAUGUUACUGCAAAGGUCUGGUACCCUCAACUCAUAGAGUUGACAGGUUAGGGACAGCACAGAUCUUUGGGUGUGAGAAAGGAAGCCUUUGGUCUUCAGAAAUUCCCACCAGGGUGCAUCAGGAAUGUUAUUUUCCCAAAGAGCACAGGAAGGUUCUGAUAUCGCUGUUAUCAUUCACCAUUUCAAAGAUCACAGACCUUUAAAGUCUUGGACUAAAACCCACCAUUUUAGUGAUUUUAAAGUGUGUACCUCAGUGUCUUUCAGCGUGUCCAUGAUGCAGGGCAAACAUAAUCUGACCUGUGACUCUGCCCCUCCCCUAGCAACUACUAACCACCCCCUAGCAACCACUAACCACCCCUACCCUGGCCUGUAGGUUUCUGAUUAUGAAUUUGCUUAUUCUGGACACUUCAUAUAACUGGAAUCAUAUAGUAUGUGGGCUUCCAUGAUCAGCUUCUCUCAUUUAACCAUGUUUUCAAGGUUCCUCUGUGUUAUCGCAUGUAUCAGGACGUCAUUCUGUCUUUGUGGUUGAAUAAUGGAGAUGAUGAGGAUGCUAUGUUUUGUUUAUCUAUUUAUUCAGUUGGCAGAUGUUUGGGUUGCUCCUGCUUUGGGGCUAUUAUGAACGAUAAUUUUAUGAACAGUCAUACACAAAUUUUUCUGUGUGAACAUAUGUUUUGGGUCCUCUUGGAAUUGCCAGAUCAUAUGGCAACUCUAUGUUUAACUUUCUGAGGGACUUCCAAGAUCACAGCUUUUAUAUCUUAUGAAAUUCAAAGUGAAAAAUGACAUACACCAGGCGGUCAGAGGCAGGGCACAUCUGUUCCUGGUUGGAUACUGAAUGGUAGCACUAAUCUGGGGAUGUUUUAUAACAGAAAAAAAAGGUCCUUUUGAGAAAUUAUUUUGAUGAGAAGAGAAAUAAAGGUUGUCUGUCUUUU
rnacentral:lncRNA from 1 species